CGGGGACUCGUAGAAGACUGCCGGGGUCAACUCGGAGGAAGGUGGGGACGACGUCAAGUCAUCAUGCCCCUUACGUCCAGGGCUGCAAACACGCUACAAUGGCCGGUACAAAGGGCUGCGAGCCCGCGAGGGUCAGCUAAUCCCACAAAGCCGGUCUCAGUUCGGAUUGAAGGCUGCAACUCGCCUUCAUGAAGCUGGAGUUGCUAGUAAUCCCGGAUCAGCACGCCGGGGUGAAUACGUUCCCGGGCCUUGUACACACCGCCCGU
rnacentral:rRNA from 1 species